rnacentral:rRNA from 1 species
GACGAACGCUGGCGGCGUGCUUAACACAUGCAAGUCGAACGGUAAGGCCCUUCGGGGUACACGAGUGGCGAACGGGUGAGUAACACGUGGGUGAUCUGCCCUGCACUUCGGGAUAAGCCUGGGAAACUGGGUCUAAUACCGGAUAGGACUCCGGACUGCAUGGUCGGGGGUGGAAAGCUUUUGCGGUGUGGGAUGGGCCCGCGGCCUAUCAGCUUGUUGGUGGGGUGAUGGCCUACCAAGGCGACGACGGGUAGCCGGCCUGAGAGGGUGACCGGCCACACUGGGACUGAGAUACGGCCCAGACUCCUACGGGAGGCAGCAGUGGGGAAUAUUGCACAAUGGGCGCAAGCCUGAUGCAGCGACGCCGCGUGAGGGAUGACGGCCUUCGGGUUGUAAACCUCUUUCAGCAUCGACGAAGCGAAAGUGACGGUAGGUGCAGAAGAAGGACCGGCCAACUACGUGCCAGCCGCCGCCAAGA